CCUCUGUGAUGUCAGCAGGUAUUCUGAGAACACUGAGGAGUGCUGGAAUGUUCCAUGUGCCCAUCUGUGCCCUCAACACAUCAUGCUCCAGACUGAGGCACCAUCUAUCUCCUUCUUCAGAUUGUGGAUAAGAAGAUUCCUUUAAGCACAAUUCCAAAAUGGCUAUGAAUUAGACACUGCUGGUACUUGAAAAUAACAUAAGGAAUGUAAGUACAAUGUGCAAAACAGAAGCUCACAGAUACAAUCCCAGCUUCUCCUUGUUAAGAGAAUUCCUCAGCUGCCAUUUAUCUCUGAUUUCUCUUUGGGCACAGCUGCUAGAACACUGAAAACCUACUGUUUUUCACAUUUGUGUCCCGAAAAGAGUCCAAGUUUUUAAUGUUCUCCAGAGUGAAAGAGUCCCAAGUCCUGCCUCUGGUUAUUGCCAGAGGAAGGAAAACAUCACUUCGCACUUUUUAUUAACCUCUGCAAGGAUGCACCAUCCACAACCGUGCCGUACGCAUUUUAAGAACAUUCUGAUGCAUUUGAAUUUAGAGACUUUUGACAAUAUUCAGAGUUUCCCAAAGGAUAAUGGGCUCCUAUUUGAUUUACAUCUUAUGAUGAAAGUGGUUCACAAAGAAGGUUCUUCUCAAAGCCGCGAGUCUAGCUCAAACUCCUAGUUUCAGUUUUUACUUUCAGACUUACAUGAAAGGUAUGUUUCAAAAUGAAAGAUUAUUUUUUGAUCUCACUGUAUCACUAUACACUGGUGGCAAAUAGUUUAGCCUUUGUCAGCCUCCAAAUGAAGACAGCAAAACUUACUUCAUUUUGUGAGGAUCAAAUGAGAUCAUUUAUGUGAAAACAUCUUUAAACAAUAAAGGAUUAUAUAAACA